CCCCCGUGAUGAGUUGCCAUGCUAAUACCGAGGCACCAGGCAAGGCCAUGGGCGCUCUGCAGUGGGUGCUUUUGAGUUAAACUCUACUUCUCGUGCGGAGACCUGAGGGGC